ensembl:lncRNA
UUUUAAACUUAUGAUGAUGAAUAGCAGCGUUCUUCAGAAGUGAAUGGAAAGUCUGUACUUCCAACCAGCAAAGGUUGACUUGCGUGAGAAGAGGAGGGAUCUCUUCUUUUCUUCGGGGUCCAAAGAGAAAAACACCGUUGUUUCUGCACUUCCUUCCCGGUACAGAGAGGCCGGGUAGUGCUGGUAUUUAUAGUCUCAGGGAUGUCAGGGCCGUACCUCGGGGACACCCCAGGGGGACAACUUGGUGCAGAGUUUGGGACAAAGAUCCCCGUAGGCGAGGUUACCAUCAGGCUUUGAACAUGACAGCUCCUGCAGACCCGACUCUGUGGUUCAACUCUACGGUGCAGACCAGCAACUACACACACACGCACACACACACACACACACACACACGCACGCAUUGACUCACUACAGAGGUGCAGUUGAGGACCUUUAGACUAGGGGACUUAUCAGAGCAUGUCCAUGCUUCCACAGCGUUUUCACAACAUGAAGAACGUUUAGUCCGGUCAUGAAAGCAAAAUCACAGGUGGAAAUAACACAUUUCAACUUUAUCUCUCAUAUUUCCCAAAUCAAGAUGUCUGCUGUGAUGCUCAGCAUCAGUCAUCCUGGAAACGAGUUCAGCUACGUCAAAAAAUCCUCCUGACGUAGAAAAUAUCCAUGUUUGAAUUAGCACUAAAUGAUGUUGCUGGUCCCUUCUGUGGUUACAGUUUGAUCCCAGUUUAGUCUGAACUAUACAAACAACACGGGCUGCCAUUUUAACACACAACAGAUGCUCCCAGCCCACAUACAGCCGAGUAUGCUGGGUUUGAAUACAUGAGACAUCCAAUGCAUCCGGAGCUUGCAGCUGAAGCUUCCCCAAGCACCACAGCCGGAGGUGACGGCGGAAACGCCAGAGCAGGACCGGUGAGACCAGGAUAGGUGAGAGCAGGACAGGUAAGACCAGGACAGGUCAGAGCAGGACCGGUGAGACCAGGACCGGUGAGAGCAGGACAGGUGAGAGCAGGACAGGUGAGAGCAGGACCGGUGAGAGCAGGACAGGUCAGAGCAGGACCGGUGAGAGCAGGACCGGUGAGAGCAGGACAGGUCAGAGCAGGACCGGUGAGAGCAGGACCGGUGAGAGCGUCAUAGUGAAACCAGCGAGAGGACGAGGCCGACAAUGAACCGUGCCCAGAGGACUUGGCAUGUGGGGCGGAGGUGCUUCUCUACCUUCAGUAGUCGUUAUGCCACCUGCUCCUUGACUUCCUCUACCGCAACACACAUUUAUCGUCUGAAAGUAGAAACUCCGCCUGUGUGAUUCAGUUUGAUUCACAGCUUCUAGCUGAAACUCGGCUGCUUGCAGAGGAUACAAAGUCUCACCUCGGCUACGCCUCGCUCGUGGAAAAUGCACCGCUCUAAAAAUAGCUCAACAUGAAGAUGUCUGAAAGCCUAACAAGCAACAGAAAAAAAAGGUCAGGGCAGAAGUCUGAAUCCCACGUACGUCCCCACUGUGUGGAGUGGAAUGCAGCCUCCAGCUGGAGGACGCCUGAGUGUGUUUCCCUGAAGGAACAAAAGAUUAAUGAUCGGAUCAGAACUGAAUCUGCUUUGCACAAAAAAACGGGUUAAAACACCAGAAACACAAGAGGAGAAAAGUGUUGUGGGAGAUGUUUUCUCCCGUUUACUCUCCUUGUUGAAAGGUAGACUAAGCCUCGGCUUGGACCUCCACAGACGGCUGGAUGCAGCAACCGAGAGGAAAACGGCAUCCGAUGGCGUGUGUCUCAUGACGGGAGGGAGGUCCGUUAUCGUUGAUCAGAUCAGAUGGUUAAGUAGUCGGGGUGGGGGGGCUGAUCCUGAGUGCUACCUCACUGUUGAUGCUCGAGUGCUGCUACUCUACUUGGCGCCGACGUGGGGUACGGUCCAUGGCCUCGUAUCAUCUUUCAUUGCUGCUUUUAUUAACACUUUAUUGGUGAAAAUGAUCAAUCGCUUCAGAUUAAACUAAAAUCCACAGUUUUGUUUAGGACAGCAUUGAGGAUGCCACUUUUUAAACAAAGGGCCUCUUAACAGCUGGAUGCUUAAUAUACUGCAGAAGGCAAAGAAACAUUACCUGAUCUCCACAACUGUUUGUGACAAUAAACAAUUAGUGCUGCCAUGUUCCAUCAAAAGAACAGUCAGGAACAGGACUUCCUCUCCUGAGCAGUGGAGCUCCUUGAGGAGGAGGCCAGGCCCCCCCUCUCCUCUCAGGGAGCCUCUCUGCUGUCUGCAUGCUGUGACGGCUUCUUUUCUCUACCAGCUGUUCAGAACUUGCUCUGCAGGUGUGUUCUGAACACGUGGAGGGUCUCGGCUUCAUGAAUGAAAUGUGGUAUAUUUCCUCCUCCGUAUACACUUGGACCACUGGGUUUGCAUCCUGGGGUUCUUGGUGUUUAGAGGCUGACAUCAGACCCCUUCGUGCAGGCGACUCCUCCACGCAGCUUCUGAUGGCUUCUCUCCUGCUGGCAGGGCGGUGAGAGUCGCCUUAGCUCCUCAAAAUAAACAGGAUUUCUACAGACACGGCAGGUGGAAAUAUACCAGAUUCACAGUGUCUUUCUUUCUGGUUUUCAAAAGAGGUUUUUCUGUUGAAAAAACCCUGAAAUGAUUCUGCUAUUUGGAGCGUUCCCCUCAUAGAUUCAUUUUGUGGCUGAACUCUUUUGGCAGAUGAUACUUUUUAUAAAACACUGGCCAAGAGCAGCCUGAAAUUACUUUGAGGAGUGUGUCCAUAUAUAAGGUGCCCUGAAUGAAGCCAGCAGAAUGUCUGGUCCCCAUCGUUCUGAUUUGACUUCUUCUUAUUCUUCCUUCCUCCCUGCAGAAUCACAUCGCCUUCGCUGAGGUCACAUGACGUGGAGUCGGCCGUCUGGCAGACCCAUUGGACGUCCACGCUCUUCACCGUCCAAUCCCAUUAACCGCAGCGCUAAACCCGUUCUCCGUUUGUGUCUGGUCUCCCGGUCUGCCCUUCUAUGUCGUCUUUAUCCGGCCGCUGUCUUUAUGUGCCGCCCCUCGUGUCCAAGAAAAGAAAAACAGUCAGCGACCCGGACGUGGACCGGCUGCUUCAGCUUUCUCCAUCUAUGCACUUCUGCUGAGAUGGUGUUUGACUUUGUCCUCUGAGAUGAAGCGGAGGAGUCGAGCCCUGCGGAACACUCAGAGUACGAGGGAAGAACUGGCCGAGGUCAGAUAUGUUGUGACUGUUUGAUUAUGGAAAAACGCCUGCGUCCAUUAAGGCUCUUAGUGUUUACCGUGUUUUUACUGUUAUUUCACCUGAGAACAUCAGACUAUGACUGCUGUCUGCUGGGUCUGUAUUUAAUCAAACUCAUUAAUGUGAACCUUUGGACUUAAAUGAAAGCGAAACUAAAAAAUAACUUUCUCACACACACAUGACUGACAUGUGUUAAAUGUAUUUGACUUUGAAUACCAUUCAUUUUAAGGAGCUCCAGACUUCAUUCAGAAUUAGGUGGUACCUUGUAGUUCAUGCAAGAAAUGACAUUUUUCGGACGGUAUCUUAUGCGUUACAGAGAAGUGCAAAUGACGAGGAUGAUGAGAUCCACACACCAAAUCUUACUUUGCACAGACACAGAUUACACGUGACACAAAUUACAUUUCCCAAGCAAAGAAAACAAGCAAUGUAAAAUGCACUCAACAUCUCGUGGUUACAUGUUUUCAGUAUACAGAUGAUCCUGAAACACUAGAAACAAUGUGACGGCAGAAUAAAAACAAUGAUUAAGGUGAUGAUUAACUGAAGCUGGCUGCACAACAUGUAGCGUGUGUGUGUGUGUGUGUCUCACAGUGACGUCAUCCCUCCAAUCAGAGACCGCAAGGAAGAAAUAGAUUAAAGUCGUAGCUGCUCUUACAACCAUCGAGUUAUUAACGACCAAAGUAAUUCAUCUUUCUGUUCAUGUAGCUAUCUCAGGAAAUGAUUUCACCAAACAGAAGGGGGUUGUUUCUUUCACGUGCACUCAGGCUGACGGAUCAGUACCGUAUUUAUUGGUCAGCUUUAUUGAUUCAUCAUUGACGUGGCUUUAUUAAAAUGCUUUCAAAAUGUGAAUUUGAGCUGCUGAACCUUUACAACAACAUUCUGGAAGGUUUAGGGACAAUGACCUCUGACCCCUGCGUUAGACAGUCCAAAGUAGUUUAAAGGUGUGGUUCUCUCUCUCACCAUUACUUAUCUUACUCGCUGACUCAGAGAAUCAACGUCUCUAGUUUUCAGAAUGCGUUUAGUCUGGUGAGCUCGCUCGCAGGUCGUUGGCUUGUUGGGGCUGAGAAGUCACCAGUUCUCUGGCCAGCUGCAGGAAUCAGGUCGUUGGGUCGAAGCCCAGUGGGACCAGUAGGUCCACGUUGGUUUUCUUUGUUUCUACUUAGAAGAAUCAUUUUGUCCCAUUCUAAUUUGUUGGUGGCUGUUUGUUGUUCAGACUGUAACGUGGGCUCAUUAAUAUCACGUUUUUUAUACUUUUGAGAAUCUGACUGUGAUGUUAAGAUGCUUUUCAAGUCCCGCCUCCAGUUUUUACUGUUCCGAGGUCGAAGGACCUUUACAAAGACAAACAUUUACGUGUUACUUUCAGGGACUAUAGUAUGCGAUGGAAGGAUAUGAUGUAUGUAUGUAAUGUGUCCAAAUUGCAACACGUGUGUAGUGUUACAUAGUAGCUCCACACAGACGUAGCAUACUACGUAUGACACCAGAGGGCGGCUCAUGGAGGUUCGCCAGGUUCCAAGCAGGAUUGUUAUUGGAGCGUUGAGUGGAGGGGGCGGGACUUCUAACUUAAAGGAUGCUCCUUGGAACAUGAAGAUGGGCUCAGGUCAGAGUAGCAAGUUAAGAGAACUCCUAAACUUUCUCUUUGUAUUUAUGUGUCAUUCGUAUGUCACCGAGAUCUAGUGUGUAUGUGUGUGUGUGUGUGUGUGUGUGUGCAGUACACAAUCAACCACUAGUGGAAAAACUAUAUCUUUAGAAACGUCAGGCCGACUUCGACAAUCAGCCCCUCCCUCUCUUUGCUGGUGGUCGCCUCCUGCAGCGAACAGGCUGCGCGUGGUUGCAGGUCUAGAAAUCCACCACACCAGGGAUGGACGUGGUGAGGCCCGUUGUCAAACCAGUGCACUUUGCUUUUUGGGAUUCAUGUGAAAGCUCCGGCAUCCAAAGGUCGGCCCGACUCACAGGCCAGAACUGAGAUUCUCUGUGGUGUGCGUCUGUUAGUCGGUUCCCCUCUCGUCUCCCUGGUGGUGGUUUCAGUGGUGGAAUAAGAGGAGAGACGGUUCCUUCAUGGGACUAGAGAUGAGUCUCUGUAGGUCCGUCCCACAGACUUACAAGUUGUUGUUGCACUAUUACUUUCCCCAUGCACAUAUGUUGCUGGUAGUUUCCUUGUACACAUGUUUUGUAUGAUUGAGUCACAUUAAUAUUACAGUAGUUGGGUUUUUGAAGCCAUGAACCUUUGUAAUGAUGAAAAAGACUGGGAGAUUUAAUGGAACAUGUUGGUGUCCUUCUCACAUUCACAUGAACAGUUCUGUCUAGGUGUUGCAGCAGCACAGUAUGAAAUGAGCUUACAGCUGAGGCAUCUGUAUUCGCACUCAUUUGAAUAUUGUCCAUAGUCACAUUUGCGACUUAUGUCCAGCACAGGACACCGUGGUGCAUCCCGGAGCUGUAGAGUGGUCUCAAUGUGGACUUCUCUCUCCUAUGAUGUAGUUGUCUCUGUACUGGACCUGCAGAGACGCUUGAAUAGUCCCGUGUUAUUCUGCACAUUUCAACAAACAAACACAUUUAUGUGGCAGUGCGUAACAAAAAUAGAAGAUAAAAACUCCCCCAGUGGAUUCAAGGAAUGAUAGUUUGUUUCAAUUGUGCUCUGCGAUUCUAUUUAUAUAUUAUAUAACAGACACAGUAUAUAUAUAUAUAUUUGAGAAUGUUUGAAUAUUGUUUGGAUCCCCCCCCCCUCCCUGUUUUUGGUCAAAAAUGGAUUCAUGAAUCUCUAACUGGUUCUUCAAUCGAUCGAUGUCCCGUCCAUUGACUGACCUCCUGGACGCGUUCGUACUUUAUAUUGUAUCAAAGUCCCGUCCCUCAUUCUUCUUUGUAGCAAUAACACGUUAGGCUUCUUUCCUGUCGAGAAGCAGUGGAGAAACGCAGUGAAGGUACAAUUAUGUGGCCCAUUGAAAUGUCUAUUUUUGUAAAAAUCACUGACGCUCUCGUGAUAAAGACCCCCGUCAGGAACAUGCAACAAGUAGCACCUUAAAUCUGGCUGUAAGUCAUUGCUAACGGAAGGGCCACCUCUGUUGCUGCUCAAAAACAUCUCAGAAUAAUAAAUAUAUAUAUUUGAUCUGCUCAUAUGUGCACCUCAAGAGCUUCAACAAUUAAGAAGAGAACAGAUAUAAUGAACUAUAUAUAUAUAUAUAUAUAUAUAUAUAUAUGUAUAUAUAUAUAUAUAUAUAUAUAUAUAUAUAUAUAUAUAUAUAUAUAUAUAUAUAUAUGCAGGCUAUAUAUUGUUAUUAUAUGUAUCUCCUUUUGGUCUUAUUCUAUGUUGUCAUUCACUUCUAUUUUCUUAUGACUGCACUGUGUGAGUGUUCAAAGCAUAAAUGUCCCCUUUAUUCCUCUGAUAACUGUUUUUCCUUCUUAAUGUGAUUUUACUCAAAUUAUGUAUAUUUCAUGUAAAUGUUCAGGGUUACAGUUUUUCUAUAUUUUUUUUGAUAGUAUUAUGUUGAUAUUUUGGUUGCUGACCCUGCUCUGUAGUCCAUAUUCUUCCUCGACUGAGCUUGUUUUGCGACAUACGUGAUACCUUUUCUAAACUUGUGGUUUUAUCUUUUUCUCUCACACAGUCGUGUGAUAUCUUUGCUUACUGGAACAUACUGUAUGGAUGUCGUUCUUCUAUUACAUGUUUUCAUAUUAAUCGCAUUUCUUUUUCAAUUUCCCUUGUUUUCAACUUAAGUUCAAAUUGUGACCUUUUACACUGUAGAAAAAAAUGAAUUGACAGUCUUUGAAUAAAAAAAAAUAAAACAUUGAAAGGGAUUUAACAUUUACC